AUUGAACGCUGGCGGCAGGCUUAACACAUGCAAGUCGAGCGGGGAUUGGGUGCUUGCACCUAAUCUUAGCGGCGGACGGGUGAGUAAUGCUUAGGAAUCUGCCAUUUAGUGGGGGACAACAUUCCGAAAGGGAUGCUAAUACCGCAUACGUCCUACGGGGGAAAGCAGGGGAUCUUCGGACCUUGCGCUAAAUGAUGAGCCUAAGUCGGAUUAGCUAGUUGGUGGGGUAAAGGCCUACCAAGGCGACGAUCUGUAGCGGGUCUGAGAGGAUGAUCCGCCACACUGGGACUGAGACACGGCCCAG
rnacentral:rRNA from 1 species